AGCGGGGUAAGAUGAGCCACCCCCUGUUUCUAAGAAACAGUAAACAAAUGUGACCAUGUGACCACAUUCAAAGGGGGGCGGGACCAUUUACUUACACUUGUGGAGAGGAGCACCACAUGUCAAACUAGGUGUGCAUGAUGCCACACUCAUACAAAAGAAAAACAGACAGGGCCGCACAGUCCCGUGCAGUUUUGGAGAGAGCCGCAGAGGAAGUCAGGAAAGGCAGGCCUAUUCGGGCUGUGGCGAGGGAUAUGCAUUUGGACAGGAUGACUCUGACUAGGUUCAUUGAAAAGAUAAAGAAUGGAGAGGUAGAGACAGGUUAUACCAAGUUGGUGAAAGUGCAUUUCUUCAUUGGCCAGAUAAUCAAAUUGGAUGUCUUCGAAAUAGAGGCAAGAUUUCUCAAAAGAAGCCGGUCAUGCCAUGGCUCUGCAAGAAAGCCAACCUUUGUCUUCAAAGAGAAAGAUGAGGCUGUCCUGUCAAGACAGGAUAUUGUGAAAAAAUUGCCCCGCCCCUUUACUGUUGGGGGGACAGCACGGAGGGAGAGGCAAAUGGUGUUCCCUUGCAAUUUGAACGCUUGGAACAUUGAAUAAUGAUGAAAUGAUUGAUGGAAUGAUUGCUGCAUGUUUUAGCAAUGUUUUAACCUACUGAAAGAAAUAAGAUUUUUUGGCACUGCUCUACUGUUUUAGUAAUUUCUAUAAUAUAGUAUAUCUCUCAUUCCCUCUCUAACCAUCCCUCUUUCUAUCUAUCUACGCAUAUCUCUCUCUCUAUCCAUCUAUCUAUCCCUCCCUAUCCCAUCUCGUUCUAUCACCUCUCUCUUCAUCUCCCCUUCUCUAUGCAACGGCCCUAUCCCCCACUUGAUUGACUUGACUUGAUUCAUUGAUUGCAUUUCUAAUAAUAAAAGUUGUUUACUUUGUUAACCUAA